AUGGCCUGCGCCAGGAACACGGUGGACGACCAGAUCGGCAGGAUCCGGACGGCCGACUUGAGCUGCUCCACCUGGUCCACCGUGCACAGCCUCCUGCCGCCAACGUUGCCAUCACGCUCUGAGGCCGCCGCGCCAGUGCCGGGUAAGUCCACGCCCCCGUUGUUGCUGAUGAUGCAGGCCUUGUUCAGGAACCUGAGCGGAUUCAAAUCAAACAUCGCCAUAUAUGUCACAGAUGAACAAUCAUUGAGUCGAUCAUGCCUUUCACUCUGCACUCACCUCAACCUGUCUGUGGGGACAGUGAGCUUGCAGUCCUUGAGAUGA
rnacentral:rRNA from 1 species